AUUGAACGCUGGCGGCAGGCCUAACACAUGCAAGUCGAACGGUAGCACAGAGAGCUUGCUCUCGGGUGACGAGUGGCGGACGGGUGAGUAACGUCUGGGAAACUGCCCGAUGGAGGGGGAUAACUACUGGAAACGGUAGCUAAUACCGCAUAACGCCGCAAGACCAAAGUGGGGGACCUUCGGGCCUCACACCAUCGGAUGUGCCCAGAUGGGAUUAGCUAGUAGGUGGGGUAAUGGCUCACCUAGGCGACGAUCCCUAGCUGGUCUGAGAGGAUGACCAGCCACACUGGAACUGAGACACGGUCCAGACUCCUACGGGAGGCAGCAGUGGGGAAUAUUGCACAAUGGGCGCAAGCCUGAUGCAGCCAAGCCGCGUGUAUGAAGAAGGCCUUCGGGUUGCAAAGUACUUUCAGCGGGGAGGAAGGCGGUGGAGUUAAUAACUUCACCGAUUGACGUUACCCGCAGAAGAAGCACCGGCUAACUCCGUGCCAGCAGCCGCGGUAA
rnacentral:rRNA from 1 species